rnacentral:lncRNA from 1 species
CCCGUGACAAGUCCAGCGAGAAUAACCUUCCACACAACCCAAUGCCAGCACGUGCAUCUGAACAUCUUUAGGCUUCAUCAUGCAUGUGUUUCCACAUUUGCGACAUGGACAACGCAUCAUCACAAGUCCUUUUCGUUCCAUAUCACCUUUCGCGAUUUCAAAAAAGACUGUCCAUUCAGUUAUCCAUUGAGCAUUGAUUCCUUCCUUGGCGUACAUCCAAGAACGGUCCUUCGAUCUAUAACACAAUACACAAGAAAACAAACAA